CCAUGUUUCACUCUCCUUGGCCUCUCCAUGUUUCCUUUGGAAAGAAAAAGGAUGUGAAAUCUGAGCGGUGUCUCCUACUUCGAAACCCUCCCAAGUUAUUUCAUGCCCGAUCCUAUGUGUUCUUUCUUUCCCUUGCCAUCAGGAACCUCGCAUUUAUGUCGUCACCGGAGGCAGGAUGCCCUCUCCGUUUAGCUCAUGUGCCUCUAAACAUA
rnacentral:lncRNA from 1 species